rnacentral:rRNA from 1 species
CUACGGGUUGCUCCAGUGGGGAAUAUUGCACAAUGGAGGAAACUCUGAUGCAGCAACGCCGCGUGGAGGAUGACACUUUUCGGAGCGUAAACUCCUUUUAUAUAGGAAGAAGAUGACGGUACUAUAUGAAUAAGCGCCGGCUAACUCCGUGCCAGCAGCCGCGGUGAUACGGAGGGCGCAAGCGUUACUCGGAAUCACUGGGCGUAAAGAGCGUGUAGGUGGAUUAAAAAGUCAGAAGUGAAAUCCUAUAGCUUAACUAUAGAACUGCUUCUGAAACUCUUAAUCUAGAAUAUGGGAGAGGUAGAUGGAAUUUCUGGUGUAGGGGUAAAAUCCGUAGAGAUCAGAAGGAAUACCGAUUGCGAAGGCGAUCUACUAGAACAUUAUUGACGCUGAGACGCGAAAGCGUGGGGAGCAAACAGGAUUAGAUACCCUAGUAGUC